rfam:Caenorhabditis remanei strain PB4641 contig15.14, whole genome shotgun sequence.
UACAGAAGCGUGGAUUUUCACAUACCAAUCGGAAGUGUCUGUGCAAAUCUAUCGCAACUGUACA